rnacentral:tRNA from 1 species
GCCCGGUUAGCUCAGUCGGUAGAGCAUUCGGCUUUUACACGGUUCCUCCUCGGGAAACGGGUUCACCGAAAUGUCGGGGGUUCAGCCCCCCAUUGGGCG